rfam:Oryza nivara chromosome 5, whole genome shotgun sequence.
UCCUAGAAAGACCAUAAUUUUGCUCCAAUGUUUGACCGUCCAUCUUAUUUGAAAAAAAUUAUGAUUAGUAUUUUAUUGCUAUUAGAUGGUAAAAUAUGAAUAAUACUUUAUGUGUGAUUACUUUUUUUAUUUUUGCAUAAAGUUUUGAAAUAAGACGGACGGUCAAAUGUUGAACACAGAAAUCCAUAACUGCACUAAAA